AGGUUAUUAAUGAGCAGCGCCAGCACGAUGAUGUACCACGUAAAUUCUCUGUGAGGCAUACCCUUCUCAUCUAACAACAAACCAUUUAUUAUUCUGGAUAUGGCUUUUCAAACAUCUCUUCACAGAAAAUACGGGGAGGAGAGCUGCAUGCUGCCAAGUGCCCUGGACAGCAGAGACAAGUCCCCAAUUAUGGAUGUGCAGGCUCAGAAGGAUUAAAAGAAAGAGCUGGCAGGAGGAAGGGCAGUGAAGUAGUGAAGUUGUAUUAAAUCACCUAUAAGAGAGGAGAAGGGAGAACCAUAUAUCACGUGGAGGGGCAGGAUGGCCGUCACUGCUCACAGAGAGGGGAAUAACCAGCAGCUGUCUGAGGAGAGAUUUUCCAGUUUCUCUUGAAAGAGGAUAAUGGGUCUGCCUUCAGGGAGCAGCAUUCCUCCGGAAUAUAAAAUUAUGUUUACACUUAUAUGGCACCUCUCAGCUGAAGAGCUCAAAGUUGCAAAGCCUCAAAAAUUCCUUGUGAUGUAAAUCUAAUGUUAUUGAUGAAGACAAGAGAGCACAAAGAGAUUGAACAUAACAGCAUAAGAACAGCUCUUAUGGCUCUACCACCUCAGACUGAAAGUCUGUCUAAUAUUGUUUCUAUGUAUGCCUGCUGGCUAGAAUGCCUACCUGACGUCCCGAGAGCUCUUUGCUUCCAAAUGUCUAUGGCUCUAAGGUUUUCUAAACUGUAUCUGUUUAUUGUCAUUAAUGAUUCUGAAUAAUAACUAUGGAACUAUUUACAAGUCCAUCAAGGUGCAGUAGAAUUCAAGGAGCUAGGAGAUGUCUUAUCAUCAAGUUAAUGACACAAGCAAAGUGAAGAAGACAAAAAUGCAGAAGUCCAUCCAUUUAACCAUCACACCACACCUUUAAGAGAAGGAUAUAGAGGUACUAGCAUUGCUACCUGAUUUUCUUAAGUGCUGCCAGACUCACCAGGAACUCAGUGGUAAUGCUGAAAAUUAGACCUCUACCUGCAGAUUGAUCUAUACUUUUUGUUAUGAAAAGAGAUCCAUGCUGCAACCUCCAGGCAUAUAUAGGAUGAUAUUUUAAAUGAGAAAUGAUGAGAGUAGAUUUCCAGCAAGUACAGAAGAAAUGAAAAAACCUUUUGAAAAAGCACACUCUGUUCCCAGCCUUGCACUUCACUUGCAUUCUCAGUGUUGUUGGAGAGAGCUGGGUAAAUGAAGGUCACUGCAGUUACUUGCAAAAGUGUCUGGAGGGUUUCUUCUAAAUGAAAGGCUACUUUCUUUUCUUUCUGGAUUAUGGCUUAAGAGAUCUGAAUACUGCAAAACCCUGGGCAGGUAGCCCAGCAUUGAAUAGAACCAUGAGCUGAAAAUAUUUGAAACUUUGAAUAUUCCUCUUUUUCUUGUGAUUAUUUUGUAAACAACACAGCACUUUUGAAGCUCAAUUCACUGGUGGAAAGAGGAGUCAUUAAAAAAAGUCAAAGACUUUUGGGAAGUUAAGAGAGUUUAAAGAUUUCCAUCCUUGUUGAGAGGGCAAAAUGACUUUAACUACUUGAAAAUCAUUAGCAACUAAUGGACUUGGUUCUGAAGGAAAACAUGAUUGCACUUGGAGGUCUCAUGCUAGUCCUUUUGUGGUGUUAUCUCUACCACUAGACAUACCCCCAUUGUGGGAAGAUACAAGAACUCCUGAAUUUUUGUCUUUUUUAAAGAAUAACUGGGAUUCUUGCCUCUAAGUCUUGGUGAGGCUCCAGGUUGCCUGAAAUUGGGCUAUCCGUUAAGGUAGAAAAACCAGAGGCUGAGGAUGCUUUGAGGUUGGACUGUUGUCUCCUGGGUCACAGCGUAGGCUUCAUCAGAAAAACACUGUAGAUAUUUUCCCUCUUCACGCUUUCUGUGGGAAUAACAGAGCAAUUGUUAGUCACCUAAGGCAUGUCAAUCUGGUCCAUUUCACCAAGACUAAAUUUGUUUUGCAAUGUGAAUAAAUUAAGACAG
rnacentral:lncRNA from 7 species